GACGAACGCUGGCGGCGUGCCUAAUACAUGCAAGUUGAGCGCUGAAGGUUGGUACUUGUACCAACUGGAUGAGCAGCGAACGGGUGAGUAACGCGUGGGGAAUCUGCCUUUGAGCGGGGGACAACAUUUGGAAACGAAUGCUAAUACCGCAUAAAAACUUUAAACACAAGUUUUAAGUUUGAAAGAUGCAAUUGCAUCACUCAAAGAUGAUCCCGCGUUGUAUUAGCUAGUUGGCGAGGUAAAGGCUCACCAAGGCGAUGAUACAUAGCCGACCUGAGAGGGUGAUCGGCCACAUUGGGACUGAGACACGGCCCAAACUCCUACGGGAGGCAGCAGUAGGGAAUCUUCGGCAAUGGACGAAAGCCUGACCGAGCAACGCCGCGUGAGUGAAGAAGGUUUUCGGAUCGUAAAACUCUGUUGGUAGAGAAGAACGUUGGUGAGAGUGGAAAGCUCAUCAAGUGACGGUAACUACCCAGAAAGGGACGGCUAACUACGUG
rnacentral:rRNA from 1 species